GGAACUAUUUCAGAGCCAGAGGAGGAUAGUGGCGGCGGCGAACUUUGCCCGGUAGAUUUUACUGACUGGGGUGCUGGCGCGCGCCUUUUUCUCGGCCAGAAUCCAGUUAUUGGGAUAGUCUUGACUUCUACCUCAGCCCAACUUCUGUGGUCGUAAUAUUAGUUUAGCUUGGGUUUGCCGUGAAGUAAGAAGACUGACUUCCGCAAAGGUACUGAACGACUGGGUGUAGGUGCCAGGGCAUGGACGUGAAGCUGGAACCGCGAAAUGAGUUAGUUGUGGGCCGCUGGCCUCAAGGAGCGAACGUCAGCGCGAAGAGGAGAAGCUUGUGCAUACGCUCUGAUAAGGGUUUUAAUAGAGAGAUGGAAUCUCGCUGUGUCACCCAGGCUGGAAUGCAGUGACUCGAUCAUAACUCACUAUGACCUCGAACUCCCAGGCUAAAGCAGUCCUCAAGCAAUCCUUCCACCUCAGCCUUCUGAGUAGCUGGGAGUAGCUGAUUAACUAAUGCGUGUCACCACGCCCAGCUAAUUUGUGUAUGUGUGUGCACAGGUGUAGAGCUAGGGGUCUUGCUAUGUUGCUCAGGCUAGUCUUGAACUCCUGGCCUCAAGCAGUCUUGUCUUGACCUCUCAAACCAGUGGGACUGUAGGUGUGAGCCAUUGCUCCUGGCUGAGCACUGUUUUUUUUAGGACAGACUGUAUUCAUUGUUGCAAUCUUCAGCUUUUGGAACAUCGUCUAGGACAGAGAAGCUGCACAAUAUGUAUUUAUCGAAUGAGUGAAUGAUACUUUUGGGAGAGAAGACAGUGGGUUGGAGAAAUAUCUUGGAAGAAUUGGAAAUUUUAGGUGGACCUUGAAGAAAGGGUAAAAUUCAAUUAGGACACAAGCAGUGAUCAAAAGCAUUGAGUUGGGAACAAAGUGGUAGGAUGUGGGAGUUAGUAUAUAGUAAAAACAACUAAAAUAUAGAAAGAGAUUAUGUGUUUAAUAGAAAUAGGAUUGACUAAAGUGAAUCCACGUUGUAUCUGUAAGAGGUCCAUCGUUGAACUUUAUUUUUUUUUGUUUUGUUUUUGAGACAGGGUCUCACUCUGUUAUCUAGGCUGGAGUGCGGUGGCACAAUCUCAGCUCACUGCAGCCUCAGCCUCCCAGGUUCAAGUGAUUCUCCUGCUUCAGCCUCCCAUAUAGGGAUUACAGGCCUGCACCACCACACCUGGCUAAUUUUUGUAUUUUUAGUACAGACGGGAUUUCACCAUGUUGGCCAGGCUGGUCUCGAACUCCUGACUUCAAGUGAUCCACCCGCCUCGGCCUUCCAGAGUGCUGGGAUUACAGGCCUGAGCCACUGCACCCAGCCACCUGUAUUUAUUUUUGAGACAGGGUCUUGUUCUGUCGCCUUGGCUGGAGUGCAGUGGUGCAAUCAUGGCUCACUGCAGCCUUGACUUCCCAGGCUCAAUGAAUAGCUGGGACUACAGGUGUGCACCACCAUACCCGGCUAAUUUUUGUAUUUUUUGUAGAGAUGGUGUUUCGCCAUCUUGCCCAAGCUGGUCUCAAACUCCUGGCCUCAAGUGAUCCACCCGUCUAGGCCUCCUACAGUGCUGGGAUUACAGGGUUGAGCCACCACACCCAGCCUCAUGGUUGAAUUUUAGGAGAGCCGUACAUCUCCUCCUGAUAAUACAUGCAAAACUUCAUGUGUCCAUUUUUUUCUGAGUUGAAGUUUCAUAGUUUUCAUCCAAUUCUCAAAGGUGUUUAUAAACCAAUAAAGGUUAAGAAUCAUGUUGUGCAUUUGAAAGACUAAUAGAAAGGCUUAAGCUUAAUGCUGUAGCAAAUUAGUCUUCAAAAGUUUUCUACCAUAGCAUUCAUUAGGAACAGAAGAGGGGGAAUGAGACCCUAAGAUUUAGAGAUGAAGUCUGAAACUUAGGACUUUAUAUUUAUCUGAACAUCAUAUGUAAAUUUUACUAUUAUGGGACUGGUAUUAAUGCUUCCUUAUAAAAAUAUAUUUAGCCUCAUCAGUGAUCAGGGAACCAUAUUUGGGACCAGUCUGUUCAGUUGGCAAAAAUUAAAAAGGCCAUCAUAUCAGAAAGGAGAAGGUAAAAUGAUUUGUUCACAGACAGCAUGAUCUUUUAUGUACAAAACCCUAAAGAUUCCACCCAAAAAACCCUGUUAGAACUAAAAAACAAAGUUGCAGGAUGCAAAACCACACAAAAUUUAGUUGCAUUUCGAUGUAAAAUUUAAAAAGGAAAUCUUAAAAAUUCCAUUUGCAACAGCAUCAGAACUAAAAUACUUGUGAAUAAAUUUAACCAAAGAGGCAAGACUUGUACACUGACAACUACAAACAUUGCUGAAGCAAAUUAAAGAAUAUAGAAAUAAGUGGAAUGACGCACUGUGUUCAUAGAUUGAAACAGUUAAUAUUAAGAUGUUGAUACUACUCAAAGUGAUCUACAGAUUCAUUAGGUAAUCCCUGUCAAAAUCCCAGUGACUUUUUUUCAGAAAUAGAAAAAUUCAUCCUAAAAUGUAUAUGAAAACUCAGAGUACCCCAAAUAGCCAAACAAUUUUGCAAGAGAACAAAGUUGAAGGUCUCAUGCUUCCUGAUUUCAAAAUUUAACUAUAAAGCUACAGUAAUCAAAACACUGUAGUCCUAGCAUAAAGACAGACAUAUAGAAUAAAGAACCCAGAACUAAACCCUCACAUAUAUGGUCAAUUGAUUUUUGACAAGGUUGUCAAGACCAGUCAAUCAAUGGAGAAAGGAUAUCCAGUUUUCUCCAUUUUUACAUGUGGAUAUCCAGUUUUCCCAACACCAUGUAUUUAAAAGAUAAAUAACCUAAAUGAUAAAUCUAAAUGUCUAAAAAAUAAAUAAUCUAAAAAUAUCCAGUUUUUUUGGGGUCAGGUGCAGUGGCUUACGCCUGUAAUCCCAACACUUCGGGAGGCCGAGGUGGGCAGAUCACUUGAGGUCAGGAGUUCGAGACUAGCCUGGCCAACAUGGUGAAACCCCAUCUCUACUAUAAAUGCAAAAAUUAUCUGGGUGUGGUAGCGGGCACCUGUAAUCCCAGCUACUUGAGAGCCAGAGGCUCGAGAAUCGCUUGAACCCGAGAGGCUGAGGUUGCAGUGAGCCAAGAUCGUGCCACUGCAUUCCAGUUGGGGUGACAGAGCGAGACUGAGUCAAAAAAAAAAAAAAUCCAGUUUUCCCAACAGCAUUUAUCUUUUCAAUAAAUGGUGUAUUUUGCAUGUGGAUAAUCCAGUUUUCCCAACACGAUUUAUCUUUAAGAUAGCCACAUGCAAAAUUAACUCAAAAUGGAUCAAAGACUUAAAUGAAAGUGCUAAAACUCUUAGAUGAAAACAGGAAAACCUUCAUGACAUUGGAUUUGGCAAUGAUUUAUUGAAUAUAACACCAGAAGCAAAGGCAACAAAAAAUAAAUUGGACUUUAUCAAAAUUAAAAAUGUUUAUUCAUCAAAGGACACAACAGAGUGAAAAGGAAACUCAUGGAAUGGGAGAAAUAUUUACAAAGCAUAUAUCUGGUAAGGGAUUAAAAUCCAUUAUAAAUACAUUUUAAAAUCCUUCAACUCACCAAAUAAAAUCCCAAUUCAAAAAUGGGCAAAGGACUUAAACAAAGGUUUCUCCAAAGAAGAUAAGCAAAUGGCUGAUAAGCCCAUGAAAAGAUGGUCAACAUAACUAACUAGGGAAUUGCAAAACAAACCACUUCACACUCAUUAGGAUGGCAGUUAUUUAAAAAAAAACAAAACAGGGCCAGGUGCAGUGGCUCAUGCCUGUAAUCCCAGCACUUUGGGAGGCCGAGGCGGGUGUAUCACGAGGUUGGGAGUUCAAGACCAGCAUGAACAACAUGGUGAAACCCUGUCUGUACUAAAAAUACAAAAAUUAGGUGUGGUGGCGUAUGCCUGUAAUCCCAGCUUCUCAGGAAGCUGAAGCAGGAGAAUCACUUGAACACAGGAGGUGGAGGUUGCAGUGAGCCGAGAUCAUGCCACUGCACUCUAGCCUGGGCGACAGACCGAGACUCCAUCUCAAAAAAAAAAAAAAAAGUAUUAGUGAGGAAGUGAAGAAAGUCAACCCCUUAUGCAUUGCUGGGAUGAAUAUAAAAUGAUACAGUCGGGAUGGGAAAUCAGUAUGGUUGUUCCUCAAAAAAUUAAACCUAAGGUUGGGCACAGUGGCUCACGCUUGUAAUCCCUGCACUUCGGGAGGCUGAGGCAGGUGGAUCUUGUGAGCCCAAAAGUUUGAGAUCAUCCUGGGCAACAUGGCAAAACCCUGUCUCUAGAAAAAGUACAAAAAUUAGCCAGGUGUAAUAGUACAUGCCUGUAGUUCCAGCUACUCAGGAGGCUGAGGUGGGAGGAUCACCUGUGCCCAGGAGGUUGAGGCUGCAGUGAGCCAUGAGCAUGCCACUGCACUAAAUAAAGAAUUACCAUAGGAUCCAGCAAUUCCACUUCUAGUAUCUACCAAAAGAAUUGAAAGCAGGGACUUCAAAAGAUAUUUAUAUAUCCAUGUUCAUGGCAGCAUUAUUCACAGUAGCCAAAAGGUGGAAGUAUCCCAAGGGUCCAUCAAUGGAUGAAUGGAUAAAAUAAUAUGGUAUAUACAUACAAUGGGAUAUCAUUCUGCCUUGAGAAAUUCUGACAUGUGUUAUAACAUGGAUGAACUUUGAAGAUACACUAAGUGAGAUAAGCUAGCCACAAAAGAACAAAUAGUGUAUGAUUUCUCUAAUACCAGAAGUAAACCAAAAGUAUCCAAGACAGGUCUCAAUCCAUUUAGGAAGUUUAUUUUGACAGGGUUAAGGAUGUACCUGUAAUACAGCCUCAAGUGGUCCCAAGGUGGUCGGGGUACAGCUUGCUUUUAUACGUUUUAGAGAGUCAUGAGACAUCAAUCAAUACAUGUAAGAUGUACAUUGGUUUAAUCUGGAAAGGCAGGAACACUUGAAACUGGGGCUUCCAGGUCAUAGGUAGAUUAAAAAAAUUUUUUUAUUAUACUUUUAGGGUACAUGUGCACAACAUGCAGGUUUGUUACAUAUGUAUACAUGUGCCAUGUUGGUGUGCUGCACCCAUUAACUCGUCAUUUAACAUUAGGUAUAUCUCCCAAUGCUAUCCCUCCCCCUCCCCCCACCCCACAACAGGCCCCAGUGUGUGAUGUUCCCCUUCCCCUGUCCAUGUGUUCUCAUUGUUCAAUUCCCACCUAUGAGUGAGAACAUGUGGUGUUUGGUUUUUUAUCCUUGCGAUAGUUUGCUGAGAAUGAUGGUUUCCAGCUUCAUCCAUGUCCCUACAAAGGACAUGAACUCAUCAUUUUUUAUGGCUGCAUAGUAUUCCAUGGUGUAUAUGUGCCACAUUUUCUUAAUCCAGUCUAUCAUUGUUGGACAUUUGGAUUGGUUCCAAGUCUUUGCUAUUGUGAAUAGUGCCACAAUAAACAUACGUGUGCACGUGUCUUUAUAGCAGCAUGUUUUAUAAUCCUUUGGGUAUAUACCCAGUAAUAGGAUGGCUGGGUCAAAUGGUAUUUCUAGUUCUAGAUCCCUGAAGAAUCACCACACUGACUUCCACAAUGGUUGAACUAGAGUCCCACCAACGUGUAAAAGUGUUCCUAUUUCUCCACAUCCUCUCCAGCACCAGUUGUUUCCUGACUUUUUAAUGAUCGCCAUUCUAACUGGUGUGAGAUGGUAUUUCAUUGUGGGUUUGAUUUGCAUUUCUCUGAUGGCCAGUGAUGAUGAGCAUUUUUUCAUGUGUCUAUUGGUUGCAUAAAUGUCUUCUUUUGAGAAGUGUCUGUUCAUAUCCUUCUCCCACUUUUUGAUGGGGUUGUUUGUUUUUUUCUUGUAAACUUGUUGGAGUUCAUUGUAGAUUCUGGAUAUUAGCCCUUUGUCAGAUAAGUAGAUUGCAAAAAUCUUCUCCCAUUCUGUAGGUUGCCUGUUCACUCUGAUGGUAGUUUCUUUUGCUGUGCAGAAGCUCUUUAGUUUAAUUAGAUCCCAUUUAUCUAGUUUGGCUUUUGUUGCCAUUGCUUUUGGUGUUUUAGACAUGAAGUCCUUGCCCAUGCCUAUGUCCUGAAUGGUAUUGCCUAGGUUUUCUUCUAGGGUUUUUAUGGUUUCAGGUCUAACAUUUAAGUCUUUAGUCCAUCUUGAAUUAAUUUUUGUGUAAGGUGUAAGGAAGGGAUCCAGUUUCAGCUUUCUACAUAUGGCUAGCCAGUUUUCCCAGCACCAUUUAUAAAAUAGGGAAUCCUUUCCCCAUUUCUUAUUUUUGUCAGGUUUGUCAAAGAUCAGAUGGUUGUAGAUAUGUGGCAUUAUUUCUGAGGGCUCUGUUCUGUUCCAUUGGUCUACAUCUCUGUUUUGGUACCAGUACCAUGCUGUUUUCGUUACUGUAGCCUUGUAGUAUAGUUUGAAGUCAGGUAGCGUGAUGCCUCCAGCUUUGUUCUUUUGGCUUAGGAUUGUCUUGGCAAUGCAGGCUCUUUUUUGGUUGCAUAUGAACUUUAAAGUAGUUUUUUCCAAUUCUGUGAAGAAAGUCAUUGGUAGCUUGAUGGGGAUGGCAUUGAAUCUAUAAAUUACCUUGGGCAGUAUGGCCAUUUUCACGAUAUUGAUUCUUCCUACCCAUGAGCAUGGAAUGUUCUUCAUUUGUUUGUAUCCUCUUUUAUUUCAUCGAGCAGUGAUUUGUAGUUCUCCUUGAAGAGGUCCUUCACAUCACUUGUAAGUUGGAUUCCUGGGUAUUUUAUUCUCUUUGAAGCAAUUGUGAAUGGGAGUUCACUCAUGAUUUGGCUCUGUGUUUGUCUGUUAUUGGUGUAUAAGAAUGCUUGUGAUUUUUGCACAUUGAUUUUGUAUCCUGAGACUUUGCUGAAGUCGCCUAUCAGCUUAAGGAGAUUUUGGGCUGAGACAAUGGGGUUUUCUAGAUAUACAAUCAUGUCAUCUGCAAACAGGGACAAUUUGACUUCCUCUUUUCCUAAUUGAAUACCCUUUAUUUCCUUCUCCUGCCUGAUUGCCCUGGCCAGAACUUCCAACACUAUGUUGAAUAGGAGUGGUGAGAGAGGACAUCCCUGUCUUGUGCCAGUUUUCAAAGGGAAUGCUUCCAGUUUUUGCCCAUUCAGUAUGAUAUUGGCUGUGGGUUUAUCAUAGAUAGCUCUUAUUAUUUUGAGAUAUGUCCCAUCAAUACCUAAUUUAUUGAGAGUUUUUAGCAUGAAGAGUUGUUGAAUUUUGUCAAAGGCCUUUUCUGCAUCUAUUGAGAUAAUCAUGUGGUUUUUGUCAUUGGUUCUCUUUAUAUUAUGGAUUACGUUUAUUGAUUUGUGUACAUUGAACCAGUCUUGCAUCCCAGGGAUGAAGCCCACUUGAUCAUGGUGGAUAAGCUUUUUGAUGUGCUGCUGGAUUCGGUUUGCCAGUAUUUUAUCGAGGACAUUUGCAUCGAUGUUCAUCAGGGAUAUUGGUCUAAAAUUCUCUUUUUUCAUUGUGUCUCUGCCAGGCUUUGGUAUCAGGAUGAUGCUGGCAUCAUACAAUGAGUUAGGGAGGUUUCCCUCUUUUUCUAUUGAUUGGAAUAGUUUCGGAAGGAAUGGUACCAACUCCUCCUUGUACCUCUGGUAGAAUUCGGCUGUGAAUCCAUCUGGUCCUGGACUUUUUUUGGUUGGUAAGCUAUUAAUUAUUGCAUCAAUUUCAGAGCCUGUUAUUGGUGUAUUCAGAGAUUCAACUUCUUCCUGGUUUAGUCUUGGGAGGGUGUAUAUGUCGAGGAAUUUAUCCAUUUCUUCUAGAUUUUCUAGUUGAUUUGUGUAGAGGUGUUUAUAAUAUUCUCUGAUGGUAGUUUCUAUUUCUGUGGGAUCGGUGGUGAUAUCCCCUUUAUCAUUUUUUUAUUGCGUCUAUUUGAUUCUUCUCUCUUUUCUUCUUUAUUAGUCUUGCUGGUAGUCUAUCAAUUUUGUUGAUCUUUUCAAAAAACCAGCUCCUGGAUUGAUUGAUUUUUUGAAGGGUUUUUUGUGUCUCUAUUUCCUUCAGUUCUGCUCUGAUCUUAGUUAUUUCUUGCCUUCUGGUAGCUUUUGAAUGUGUUUGCUCUUGCUUCUCUAGUUCUUUUAAUUGUGAUGUUAGGGUGUCAAUUUUAGCUCUUUCCUGCUUUCUCUUGUGGGCAUUUAGUGCUAUAAAUUUCCCUCUACACACUGCUUUGAAUGUGUCCCAGAGAUUCUAGUAUGUUGUGUCUUUGUUCUUGUUGGUUUCAAAGAAUAUCUUUAUUUCUGCCUUCAUUUUGUUAUGUACCCAGUAGUCAUUCAGGAGCAGGUUGUUCAGUUUCCAUGUAGUUGAGUGGUUUUGAGUGAGUUUCUUAAUCCUGAGUUCUAGUUUGAUUGCACUGUGGUCUGAGAGACAGUUUUUUAUAAUUUCUGUUCUUUUACAUUUGCUGAGGAAUAAGUAUGGUGUGAUGCUGAAAAGAAUGUAUAUUCUGUUGAUUUGGGGUGGAGAGUUCUGUAGAUGUCUAUUAGGUCUGCUUGGUGCAGAGCUGAGUUCAAUUGCUGGAUAUCCUUGUUAACUUUCUGUCUCGUUGAUCUGUCUAAUGUUGACAGUGGGGUGUUAAAGUCUCCCAUUAUUAUUGUGUAGGAGUCUAAGUCUCUUUGUAGGUCUCUAAGGACUUGCUUUAUGAAUCUGGGUGAUCCUGUAUUGGUUGCAUAUAUAUUUAGGAUAGUUAGCUCUUCUCGUUGAAUUGAUCCCUUUACCAUUAUGUAAUGGCCUUCUUUGUCUCUUUUGAUCUUUGUUGGUUUAAAGUCUGUUUUAUCAGAGACUAGGAUUGCAACCACUGCCUUUUUUUGUUUUCCAUUUGCUUGGUAGAUCUUCCUCCAUCCCUUUAUUUUGAGCCUAUAUGUGUCUCUGCAGAUGAGAUGGGUUUCCUGAAUACAGCACACUGAUGGGUCUUGACUCUUUAUCCAAUUUGCCAGUCUGUGUUUUUUAAUUGGAGCAUUUAGCCCAUUUACAUUUAAGGUUAAUAUUGUUAUGUGUGAAUUUGAUCCUGUCAUGAUGAUGUUAGCUGGUUAUUUUGCUCGUUAGUUGAUGCAGUUUCUUCCUAGCCUCGAUGGUCUUUACAAUUUGACAUGAUUUUGCAGUGGCUGGUACUGGUUGUUCCUUUCCAUGUUUAGUGCUUCCUUCAGGAGCUCUUUUAGAGCAGGCCUUGUGGUGACAAAAUCUCUCAGCAUUUGCUUGUCUGUAAAGGAUUUUAUUUCUCCUUCACUUAUGAAGCUGAGUUUGGCUGGAUAUGAAAUUCUGGGUUGAAAAUUCUUUUCUUUAAGAAUGUUGAAUAUUGGCCCCCACUCCCUUCUGGCUUGUAGAGUUUCUGCCAAGAGAUCAGUUAUUAGUCUGAUGGGCUUCCCUUUGUGGGUAACCUGACCUUUCUCUCUGGCUGCCCUUAACAUUUUUUCCUUUAUUUCAACUUUGGUGAAUCUGACAAUUAUGUGUCUGGGAGUUGCUCUUCUCAAGGAGUAUCUCUGUGGCGUUCUCCGUAUUUCCUGAAUCUGAAUGUUGGCCUGCCUUGCUAGAUUGGGGAAGUUCUCCUGGAUAAUAUCCUGCAGUGUUUUCCAACUUGGUUCCAUUCUCCCCGUCACUUUCAGGUACACCAAUCAGACGUAGAUUUGGUCUUUUCACAUAGUCCCAUAUUUCUUGGAGGCUUUGUUCGUUUCUUUUUAUUCUUUUUUCUCUAAACUUCCCUUCUUGCUUCAUUUCAUUCAUUUCAUCUUCCAUCACUGAUACCCUUUCUUCCAGUUGAUCGAAUCGGCUACUGAGGCUUGUACAUUCAUCACGUAGUUUUCUUGCCUUGGUUUUCAGCUCCAUCAGGGCCUUUAAGGACUUCUCUGCAUUGGUUAUUCUAGUUAGCCAUUCGUCUAAUUUUUUUUUUCAAGGUUUUUAACUUCUUUGCCGUGGGUUCGAACUUCCUCCUUUAGCUCAGAGUAGUUCAAUUGUCCGAAGCCUUCUUCUCUCAACUCGUCAAAGUCAUUCUCCGUCCAGCUUAGUUCCGUUGCUGGUGAGGAGCUGCAUUCCUUUGGAGGAGGAGAGGUGCUCUGAUUUUUAGAGUUUCCAGUUUUUCUGCUGUUUUUUCCCCAUCUUUGUGGUUUUAUCGAGCUUUGGUCUUUGAUGAUGGUGACGUACAGAUGGGGUUUUGGUGUGGAUGUCCUUUCUGUUUGUUAGUUUUCCUUCUAAAAGUCAGGACCCUCAGCUGCAGGUAUGUUGCAGUUUGCUGGAGGUCCAUUCCAGACCCUGUUUGCCUGGGUAUCAGUAGCAGGGGCUGCAGAACAGCAGAUAUUGGUGAACAGCAAAUGUUGCUGCCUGAUCGUUCCUCUGGAAGUUUUGUCUCAGAGGAGUACCCGGCCAUGUGAGGUGUCAGUCUGCCUCUACUGGGGGAUGCCUCCCAGUUAGGCUACUCGGCGGUCAGGGACUCACUUGAGGAGUCAGUCUGUCCAUUCUCAGAUCUUCAGCUGCAUGCUGGGAGAACCACUACUCUCUUCAAAGCUGUCAGACAGGGACAUUUAAGUCUGCAGAGGAUUCUGCUGCCUUUUGUUUGGCUAUGCCCUGCCCCCAGAGGUGGAGUCUACAGAUGCAGGCAAGCCUCUUUGAGCUGCGGUGGGCUCCACCCAGUUCGAGCUUCCUGGCCGCUUUAUUUACCUACUCAAGCCUCGGCAAUGGCGGGCACCCCUCCCCCAGCCUCGCUGCUGCCUUGCAGUUUGAUCUUAGACUGCUGUGCUAGCAAUGAGCAAGGCUCCACGGGCGUAGGACCCUCCGAGCCAUGCACGGGAUAUAAUCUCCUGGUGUGCCGUUUGCUAAGACCAUUGGAAAAGUGCAGUAUUAGGGUGGGAGUGACCUGAUUUUCCAGGUGCUGUCUAUCAUCCCUUUCUUUGACUAGGAAAGGGAAUUCCCUGACCCCUUGCGCUUCCUGGGUGAGGCGAUGCCUUGCCCUGCUUUGGCUCACGCUUGGUGCGCUGCACCCACUGUCCUGCACCCACUGUCUGACACUCCUCAGUGAGAUGAACCCGGCACCUCAGUUGGAAAUGCAGAAAUCACCCAUCUUCUGCGUUGCUCACGCUGGGAGCUGUAGACUGGAGCUGUUCCUAUUUGGCCAUCUUGGCUCCUCCUCAUUUUAAAAUGUUCUGAUCAGCAGUUGGUUGAAAGAGUUAUCAAUGAGUGUCUGGGUUACAGUAAGAAGUUGUAGAGACCAAGGUUUUAUCAUGCAGAUGAAGCCUCCAGGUGGCAGGCUUCACAGAGAAUAGACUGUAAAUAUUUCUUAUCAGACUUUAAGAGUCUGUUCUGUCAGUAAUUCCAAAAGAGAGGAGGGUAUAAUUAGGCAUAUCCAGCUCCCUGCUUCCAUAAUGACCUGAGCUAGUUUUUCAAGUUCACUUUGGAAUGCCCUUGGCCGAGAGAAGGCUUCCAUUCUGAUAGUGUGGGUUGGGGGGAAGAGGGGAUGGUGCUUAUAAUUUUAUUUUUGGUUUAAACAGGUAUCUAGAGUAGUCAUAUCCAUCAGGACAAAAAAUAGAAUGAUGGUUUCCUAGGCUGGAGGAGGGGAGAAUUGAGAGAUAUUUUUAGAUACAGAUUUAUUUUAUUUUAUUUUAUUUUAUUUUUUUGAGAUGGUAUCUCACUCUGUUGCCCAGGUUGGAGUGCAGUGGUGUAAUCUCAGCUCACUGCAACCUCCACUUCCUAGGUUCAAACUAUUGUCCCACCUCAGCUUCCCGAGUAGCUGGGAUUACAGGCAUGCGCCACCAUAUCCAGCUAGUUUUUGUAUUUUUAGUGGAGAUGGGGUUUCACCAUGUUGGCCAGGCUGGUCAUGAACUGCCGACCUCUGAUGAUCUGCCCACCUCGGCCUCCCAAAAUGUUGGGAUUACAGGUGUGAGCCACUGCGCCCAGCCUAGAUACAGAAUUUCAGUUGAAGAAGAUAAGUUCUAGAGAUGGAUGGUGGUAAUGGUUGUACAGCAGUGUGCAUGUACUGAAUGUCUCUGAACUAUAUACUUAAAAAUGUUUAAAAUGGUAAACCUGAUAUAUAUAUGUUAAAGAAAUGUUUAAAGUUGGCCCAUAUCUGGAGGAUACAGAUCAUCAGAAUAUCUUAAUCAUUGCUGGUGGGAGUGUAAAUUGGUAUAGCGCUUUUGGAACAAUUUGGCGUUAUCCUGUAAAGAUAAACAUUUCCAUGCCCUUUGACCUGCCAUUUUGCUCCUAGGCAUAUACAUAAAAGAAACUUUGUUUUUUUUUUUGAGACAGAGUUUGCUCUGUUGUCCAGGCUCAAGUAAAGUGGCACAAUCACAGCUCACUGCAUCCUUGAUCUUCUGGCCUCCAGCUAUCCUCCCACUUCACCCUGCUAGUAGCUGGGACUACAGGUGCAUGCCACCAUGCCCAGCAAAUUUUUUUUUGUUUUUUUUUGGUAGAGGCAGGGUUUCACUAUUGUAUUAGUUCAUUUUUACGCUGCUGAUAAAAACAUAACCGAAACUAAAACCAAAAAGAGGUUUAAUUGGACUUACAGUUCCACGUGGCUGGGGAGGCCUCAGAAUCUUGGUGGGAGGCAAAAAGCACUUCUUUUUUUUUUUUUUUUUUUUUUUUUUGAGACGGAGUCUCACUCUGUCACCAGGCUGGAGUGCAGUGGCGUGAUCUCGGCUCACUGCAACCUCUGCCUCCUGGGUUCAAGUGAUUCUUCUGCCUCAACCUUCCAAGUAGCUGGGACAACAGGCGCACGCCAUCAUGCCCAACUAAUUUUUGUAUUUUUAGUAGAGAUGGGGUUUCAUCAUGAUGGCCAGGCUGGUCUCCAUCUCCUGACCUUGUGAUCUGCCCACCUUGGCCUCCCAAAGUGCUGGGAUUACAGGCCUGAGCCACCAGGCCUGGUCAAAGGCAUUUCUUAAUGGCAGUGGCAAGAGAUAAAUGAGGAAGAAGUAAAAGCGGAAACACCUGAUAAAACCAUCAGAUCUCGUGAGAUUUACUAUCACGAGAAUAGCACAGAAAAGACCAGCCCCCAUGAUUCAGUUACCUCCCCUUGGGUCCCUCCCACGACACGGGGGAAUUCUGGGAGAUACAAUUCAAGUUGAGAUUUGGGUGGGGACACAGCCAAACCAUAUCAACUAUCUUGUCCAAGCUGGUCUUGAACUCCUGGGCUCAAGCGAUCAUCCUGCCUCAGCCUCCCAAAGUGCUGGGAUUAUAGGAAUAAGCCACUGCCCCCAGUUCAAAAAAACUUUUUAACGAGUAUCAGGUCAUGCAUACAAGAGUGUUCAUGUGAGCACUCUUUUUAAUACCAAAACCUGAAAACAACCCAAAUGCCCAUUAACAGGCAAGGGAAUAGACAAAUUAAUUAGAAGCUCCUGGAGGACAGGGACCACCUCUACAAAAAAUAAAAAAUCAGUACCUUCCCCAUCUCACACAGUGUCCCAGGACCCUGCAGGGCAGUGGAGGUGCACCCAUAAAUAAAUAAGGAUAUAUUUAUAUCCACUCCAAGUGAAUGUACCAUAAUUAUAUGCCAUAAUGUGGAUUAAUCCUAGCAAUAUAGUAUUAAGUGAAAAGCAUAUGUCCUUAAAGAUUACAUAUAAAGUUAAUAACAUCUAAACACUCCCUCCCCCCAAAAAAACCCCACUCUUUUUGAAUAUAUUUACAUGUGACAUUAAAAGGGAAAACAGAAUGAUUUCAGUAGUGUUACCUUGGAAUGGGGAAGAGGCUGGGUGAUACAACUGAAGAUCAAACAGGUGAAUAUGAAUGGAAAUUCAUUUCCUAGUUUUCAUGUUGGUGAUAAUGUCAAGUGUAUUUGUUGUAUUAUUUUAAAUGAAUGAAUGAAUGAAUGAAGGAUUGAGGGUCUUGAAUGCACCAACAAUGAGAAUGUGUCAUGAGUCGAGAAUAAUGAUGUAUCUAAUUCUAUGCAUCUGUGCAUCUGAAGGGGCCUUAGAAAAUGCAUUCUGUAUCUGUUUGAUAUAAAUAAGGGGAAGAUGGUGGGGGGGGGAGUGAUGUUUUAAAUUACUCAGCAUCAAAUAAAAUGGAUACUCUGGAAAAAUGUGUCACAUUUCUCCUGUGGUUUCUAGUACCCUCUGACCAAUUGCCACUUUUGCCUGGGCAUUUAAGCAUCCCAAUUUUAGGAGACUGGUGAUAGUGGAAAGUCAGUGAAACAUCUUAAGCUUG
rnacentral:lncRNA from 1 species